GGAGUGUUUGCAGAGCUGGUGCCUGCCCCGGUCUUCAAAACCGCUGAGACGGCUGCAAAGUCGUCUGGUGGGUUCGAUUCCCAUCCACUCCC
rnacentral:tRNA from 1 species